rnacentral:rRNA from 1 species
UACAGAGGUCUCAAGCGUUGUUCGGAUUCAUUGGGCGUAAAGGGUGCGUAGGCGGCGCGGUAAGUCGGGUGUGAAAUCUCGGAGCUUAACUCCGAAACUGCAUUCGAUACUGCCGUGCUUGAGGACUGGAGAGGAGACUGGAAUUUACGGUGUAGCGGUGAAAUGCGUAGAUAUCGUAAGGAAGACCAGUGGCGAAGGCGGGUCUCUGGACAGUACCUGACGCUGAGGCACGAAGGUCAGGGGAGCGAACGGG